rnacentral:rRNA from 1 species
UACAGAGGGUGCGAGCGUUAAUCGGAAUUACUGGGCGUAAAGCGCACGUAGGUGGCGACGUAAGUCGGGUGUGAAAGCCCCGGGCUCAACCUGGGAAUUGCAUUCGAGACUGCAUUGCUGGAGUACGGAAGAGGAAGGCGGAAUUCCCGGUGUAGCGGUGAAAUGCGUAGAUAUCGGGAGGAACAUCAGUGGCGAAAGCGGCUUCCUGGUCCAGCACCGACGUUCAGGCACGAAAGCGUGGGGAGCAAACAGG